ensembl:lncRNA
UUCUGUUCGGUUAAUAGCUCUCGGUGACAUAUUUAUCUUAAACCAAAUAGUGAACAUUCUGUUCGCUGAAUGCUAACAGUGAAUGUUGUGUUAGGUGAAUGCUAACAGUGAACGUUCUGUUAGCUGAAUGCUAACAGUGAAUGUUGUGUCAGGUGAAUGCUAACAGUGAACGUUCUGUUAGCUGAAUGCUAACAGUGGAUGUUGUGUUAGGUGAAUGCUGGCAGUGACUCUCUGAGAGGUACAAGCUAACAGUGUCUGUUAGCUCCGUUAGCUAAUAGCGGUGUUAGGGCCGAACUAGUUAGACACAGAUUUGUUAGAGUAUCGAGUAUUUAUUCGUUAAGUAUCCGAUACUUUGUUCGCCUUUGUUAUCCGGGGCCGCUACUCGGAGUGUAAUCUACGAAUCAAACCAAACGGUUGGAUAGCGGUUAGCACGAGGCGCGGCAUCAGCAGUCAGAGCGGCCGGGCUGGUAGCGUUCGGUGUUCUAAUCAGCCCCGGCGUCGCGGCGCCCUCUGAUCCUCCGGCGCAGCGUGGGGAUUAGACCGGGGACCACCCGCUAACGAGGCCACGGCCCUGAACCGUGACGCAGGGCCCCGCCCGGGGGCCCUGACACCCAUACUAAUGAG